GGGACACGUGGUAUCCUGUCUGAAUAUGGGGGGACCAUCCUCCAAGGCUAAAUACUCCUGACUGACCGAUAGUGAACCAGUACCGUGAGGGAAAGGCGAAAAGAACCCCGGCGAGGGGAGUGAAAAAGAACCUGAAACCGUGUACGUACAAGCAGUGGGAGCACCUUCGGGUGUGACUGCGUACCUUUUGUAUAAUGGGUCAGCGACUUAUAUUCUGUAGCAAGGUUAACCGUAUAGGGGAGCCGCAGGGAAACCGAGUCUUAACUGGGCGUUAAGUUGCAGGGUAUAGACCCGAAACCCGGUGAUCUAGCCAUGGGCAGGUUGAAGGUUGGGUAACACUAACUGGAGGACCGAACCGACUAAUGUUGAAAAAUUAGCGGAUGACUUGUGGCUGGGGGUGAAAGGCCAAUCAAACCGGGAGAUAGCUGGUUCUCCCCGAAAGCUAUUUAGGUAGCGCCUCGUGAACUCAUCUUCGGGGGUAGAGCACUGUUUCGGCUAGGGGGUCAUCCCGACUUACCAACCCGAUGCAAACUACGAAUACCGAAGAAUGUUAUCACGGGAGACACACGGCGGGUGCUAACGUCCGUCGUGAAGAGGGAAACAACCCAGACCGCCAGCUAAGGUCCCAAAGUCAUGGUUAAGUGGGAAACGAUGUGGGAAGGCACAGACAGCCAGGAUGUUGGCUUAGAAGCAGCCAUCAUUUAAAGAAAGCGUAAUAGCUCAC
rnacentral:rRNA from 1 species